rnacentral:rRNA from 1 species
GACGAACGCUGGCGGCGUGCUUAACACAUGCAAGUCGAACGGAAAGGCCCUGCUUUUGUGGGGUGCUCGAGUGGCGAACGGGUGAGUAACACGUGAGUAACCUGCCCUUGACUUUGGGAUAACUUCAGGAAACUGGCUAAUACCGGAUAGGAGCUCCUGCUGCAUGGUGGGGGUUGGAAAGUUUCGGCGGUUGGGGAUGGACUCGCGGCUUAUCAGCUUGUUGGUGGGGUAGUGGCUUACCAAGGCUUUGACGGGUAGCCGGCCUGAGAGGGUGACCGGCCACAUUGGGACUGAGAUACGGCCCAGACUCCUACGGGAGGCAAGAGUGGGGAAUAUUGCACAAUGGGCGGAAGCCUGAUGCAGCAACGCCGCGUGCGGGAUGACGGCCUUCGGGUUGUAAACCGCUUUCGCCUGUGACGAAGCGUGAGUGACGGUAAUGGGUAAAGAAGCACCGGCUAACUACGU